rnacentral:rRNA from 1 species
CAGUCGCCACGGUAAUACGGAGGGAGCUAGCGUUGUUCGGAAUUACUGGGCGUAAAGCGCGCGUAGGCGGUUACUCAAGUCAGAGGUGAAAGCCCGGGGCUCAACCCCGGAACUGCCUUUGAAACUAGGUGACUAGAAUCUUGGAGAGGUCAGUGGAAUUCCGAGUGUAGAGGUGAAAUUCGUAGAUAUUCGGAAGAACACCAGUGGCGAAGGCGACUGACUGGACAAGUAUUGACGCUGAGGUGCGAAAGCGUGGGGAGCAAACAGGAUUAGAUACCCCAGUAGUCCCUGUCUCUUAUAU